rnacentral:rRNA from 1 species
AUUGAACGCUGGCGGCAUGCCUUACACAUGCAAGUCGAACGGCAGCACGGGUGCUUGCACCUGGUGGCGAGUGGCGAACGGGUGAGUAAUACAUCGGAACAUGUCCUGUAGUGGGGGAUAGCCCGGCGAAAGCCGGAUUAAUACCGCAUACGAUCUACGGAUGAAAGCGGGGGACCUUCGGGCCUCGCGCUAUAGGGUUGGCCGAUGGCUGAUUAGCUAGUUGGUGGGGUAAAGGCCUACCAAGGCGACGAUCAGUAGCUGGUCUGAGAGGACGACCAGCCACACUGGGACUGAGACACGGCCCAGACUCCUACGGGAGGCAGCAGUGGGGAAUUUUGGACAAUGGGCGAAAGCCUGAUCCAGCAAUGCCGCGUGUGUGAAGAAGGCCUUCGGGUUGUAAAGCACUUUUGUCCGGAAAGAAAUCCUUGGCCCUAAUACGGUCGGGGGAUGACGGUACCGGAAGAAGAAGCACCGGCUAACUACGUG